rnacentral:rRNA from 1 species
AUAACGACUUUCGGCAACCGCAGCGAAAUGCGAUACUUGGUGUGAAUUGCAGAAUCCCGUGAACCAUCGAGUCUUUGAACGCAAGUUGCGCCCGAAGCCAUUUGGCCGAGGGCACGUCUGCCUGGGUGUCACGC